rnacentral:rRNA from 1 species
GAUGAACGCUGGCGGCGUGCCUAAUACAUGCAAGUCGAGCGAACGGACGAGAAGCUUGCUUCUCUGAUGUUAGCGGCGGACGGGUGAGUAACACGUGGAUACCCUACCUAUAAGACUGGUAUCACUUUGGGAAACCGUAGCUAAUACCGGAUAAUAUUUUGAACCGCAUGGUUCAAAAGUGAAAGACGGUCUUGCUGUCACUUAUAGAUGGAUCCGCGCUGCAUUAGCUAGUUGGUAAGGUAACGGCUUACCAAGGGAACGAUGCAUAGCCGACCUGAGAGAGUGAUAGGCCACACUGGAACUGAGACACGGUCCAGACUCCUACGGGAGGCAGCAGUAGGGAAUCGUCCGCAAUGGGCGGAAGCCUUACGGAGCAACGCCGCGUGAGUGAUGAAGAUCUUCGGAUCGUAAAACUCUGUUAUUAGGGAAGAACAUAUGUGUAAGUAACUGUGGACAGCGUGACGGUACCUAAUCAGAAAGCCACGGCUAACUACGUG